rnacentral:lncRNA from 1 species
AAUUCCUAGUCUGAAGUUUCCUUAUGAAUAGCUUAUUAUUACUUGUGAGAUUAAAUCAUUAAAUUGGUCUCUGUCUUUGUACUCAUUUUCAAAUUAGCCUCCGACUAUAUUAAUAUUUCAAACUAAUUUAUGUCUUUAUCAAAAGUUUUUCAUUUAGGUCCCUCGUCAUGCGACAGAAACAUAAAAAAGACCUAAUUGAGAAACUUUUAACAAAGACAGAGACUAGUUUAAAAUAUUAAUAUAGUCGGGGACUAUUGAAAAUGAUCUACAAAGAUAGGGACCAAUUUGGUGGUUUCUUGUUACUUCUUUUGAUGAUAUCUGACAUUAAAUGGAACAUCAAUUUGCAGACCCAAUUCAUGCUGGACCAAUUAGCUGAUCUUCAAAAUAAGGUACAUGGUGUUUGCAUUACUUCAUAAUAAAUCAACUUUAUAUGUUCCUAACACAUGUAAUCCAUUUUUUGGCCAUAGGAGCAUAUGUUGGUAGAAGCAAACAGAUCUUUGUCUAUGAAGGUAACAUUCAUCCAUCAUCCAUGCCAUUAUUGUUCUUAUGCAUGGUUCUAUUUCACAAUAUGAUUAUGUACUUGUCUAAAGUACUUGGAACAUUAAAAUACUAUUAUGAAUUUUUUUGAAAAGGAAAAAUACUAUUAUGAAUUGAUUAAUGUACCUUAAGACUAAAGUAGUAACCUAUUCUUACAAUAUAAAGACUAUAGUACUGAUUUAUACCUAUUCAUCCAUUCAUAUUAAUUAAGUCCUUGUGCUGAUGAUUUGAUUGAAUACUAUUCUAUUGAAAGCUGGAAGAAAUCAAUAUCAAUUCAAGAAACCAGUAUAGGCAAACAUGGGAAGCUGGUGAUCAAAGUAUGGCAUAUGGUAAUCAAAAUGCUCACUCACAAAGCUUCUUUCAGCCUUUGGAGUGCAAUCCAACAUUGCAGAUAGGGUAAUAAUCUAUAAAUCAUUUUCUUUUUUGUUGUUGCUAAAGAUGAUUUGAAUUAGGUUUAACUAUUCUCUAGGUCCUAAACUAUUUCAAAAAAUUUAAAUAGGUCACUGAAUUAAAAAAAAAUAUUGUACCUGGGCCCCUAAAUUUGUUAUUGAUUUGUAAUUAGGUCCUUAAACUACUUUUUUUUUUUUUUUAAAUCGUGUCCCUAAAUUUUUAAAUAAUUUGUAACUAUGUCGUUGAACUUACGGAACUUACAGAUGCAAAUAUAAAUUAUUUAAAAUUUUAAGGACCUACUUAUAGUGCAUGUUUGGAAUCACAUUAAAAACAAUAAAAUGACACUGUGAUAUUGUUGAAACUCUCGAGUGUAUUUUUUGUCAAAAUGAAAUAGUUCAGAUACAUAUAAAAUAUAUUGAACCUUUAAAUUAUUAAAUUCUAAACCAUUGUUCCUUGAUACAGGACUGAUUACAGGUACAGUCCUCCAGUAGCAUCAGAUCAGCUAACUGCAACAACUCAAGCUCAACAAGUUAAUGGAUUUAUUCCUGGAUGGAUGCUUUGAGCUAAGCUCAUUAUUUCUCUAUUUGCAUAAAAGCAAAAGACAAAAAAAUGCCUUUUGGUUUUGACAUUGUUGUAAAUGCUGCAUGUGCUUCUUUCUGGUUAACUUGUUUUGCUAUAAAAACAGCAGUGACUGAAUUAAAACUAUUGAAACUUUUAGCCAUAGAUAUAUAUGGCAUAUAUGAAGGUUUUUAGUAUUUUGAAUAUCUUUAGAUGUUAUUUUCAUUUUUCUUAUGCAUCACUUACUAAUCUGAUACUAAUCUAUAUGCUUUAUAUCAUUAUAUGCAUUGUUUUUAAACAUCAAUUUUAAUUUCAUUACUAGAGGAACAUAUAAAAUAGUAUUUGGUUGGUUGUGAAAAGGGUGGUACAAUGUGUGUAUGAGUAUCUUUUUUCUAUUUGGAAUAUGUUUGAAGGCAAAUUUUAAUAUGGACCACCUUCAUAAGUGUUUCAUCAUGGACCAUACUUUAAAAAUGUUUAAAUGUUAAAAUAAUUUAAGUGAGUAACCACUGAAAAUUGACUAAACUAUUUACAAAAUUGUGGGUUCAACUCAUGUUGUCAGCAUGAGACCUCUUUAAUCAAUGAUUUAUAAAUAUCUUUGUUAGUGUUCAUUAAACUUUGAGACUUUCCUCGACACUCGGUGAAUCUCUGAAAUUAAAUUUAUCCAAACAUCAUUUGAUCCCCAAACUCCUCAAUAUAGUGCAUUUGAAAGAAGAGAAAAAAUAUGUUCCACACGUGAGUCAUAUGAUCAACUGCACAUAACUAAAGUUUGCAUGGGAAUGCUGACCUCUUUCAAUGCAACUCCAUUUGAGCUUAGCAUAAACAUUAAAUAUCCACUUGUAUUGUUUAAAGUAUGUUCCUUAGAACACCAUAUGUAAUGUUGGUAUAAAAAAAAGUUAAAGUGCAUUUUUCCCCCCUUAAGUUUUAAAAAGUUAUAAUUUUAGUUCCCUAUGUACAAAAACUACAAUUUUGAUCCCUUAAGAUUUAGCCCAUUUGCAACUUUGAUCCUUUUGGUCAAUUUUGACCAAAAUAAUGAAUUAAAAAAUAAAAAAUGCCACAUAAUCAUUUUAUAAAUUAAAUAAAUUAAAAAAUAUUAAAAAUCAGAAAAGGUUAAAAAUAAAACCCAAAACAAACAUAUUCAUCAUUCAUCUCUACCAAUCCAAAAAAAAAACCUUCAAUCUUCAAUUUUCAUGUCUUCAUAACAAUCUUCAAAAAUUGUAAUUAACAAAAAAAAAAAAAAAAGACUUAAUUGCUAUUUUUCGUCCCUUAACUAAUUUUUUGGUAUCACUUUGGUCCCAUAAUUAAUAAAAAGUCUGUUUGAGUCCUUUAAAUAUGUCUCUGUUACAUAAAUUGGCUCCUUCCGUUAAUUUUAUUAAAAAAUUGUUAGAAUUUGUACAAGUCAUCACCUUCAUUCAACUUCUUCAUCUUCUUCCUCAUCCACAUUCAUCAACCUUCAUAAUAAAAAUCCAGCACAACAGAAAACUGAAGAAAAAAAAUCGAACCUUGAAAUUGAAAUUGGAAGAAAACAAAUUGAUUCUUAAAUAUUGAAACAUAAAAGCUCUAUUUUCUGUAGAGGAAAAAAAAAACUCAUUUUCAAAUUCAAUCUAAACUCUUCAUCAUUAUCAUCAUCAUCAAUCCUUCAUAAAAAUCCAUUCUUCAUAAAAAUCCAUUUUCUGAACUAAACCCAUCACCAUUAUUCCUUCAAAAACAAAACUCAUUGUCGAAAGAGGAACACAUAUGAAGGAGAAUUGGAACACGAUUUCAGUACCCCAAUCAAAAGAGGAACACAUGAGUAAGAACUAGAACACAAAAAACUUGAAGAUUAUUUGCAAUUUCAACAACGCAUGCAAAUCAACGAUUUUGAGCAUGAUUUCCGAUUUUCAUUUGUUUAAGAGGAAUUGAAAACGAAUUUUCGUUUGAUGGUGUUAUGAGAAGACCUAUGGAAGAAGAAGACGACGACUUAUGGUGUUAUGGGUGAAGUUGUUGUCAUUGGAAUAAAAAAAAUUUAGUCAUUCCAAAUCUUAAAGAAAUUCACAAAUUAAAAUGAUAAUGAGUUUAGAUUAGGAUUUCAUAUGAUAAAGGUAAAGUAUUAUAUGAUGAGUUUUGUUGUUUAAGUUUUUUUUUUUUUUUUUUUCUCUGGGUUUGUAUGAAGGUUUUAUGAAGAUUUGUUGAAGAAGAUGAAGAUGAGGAGGAAGAAGAUGAAUAUAAAUUCCAACCAAUGUGAAAAUGACACGUGUGCUUGAGUUAACAUAUUUUUUAAUAAAAUUAACGGAAGGAACCAAUUUAUGUAACAGAGACAUAUUUAAAGGAUUCAAACGGACUUUUAUUAAUUAUGAGACCAAAACGAUACCAAAAAAUUAGUUUAGGGACGAAAAUAGCAAUUAAGCCAAAUAAAAAUUAAUUCAAAUUAAAUGGCACAAAAUUGUAUUCCUUUUCCAACUAGCAGCAACGUAAUAGUUGAAUCCUAAACUUUUUUUUUUUUGGUCAAAUGAUAAACUCUUAUUUCUAUUAUGUAUUUGAUUGACGCAUAUAAUAAACUAGAUUAAUAUUUAAAAAUGCUGAAAUUGCCGAAAUUGUUAGGCCGGAUGCCAUGAUCGGGGUUCGAACCCCGGUACCUCCACUUGUGUGUGUGAGUUUAUAAUGGCUUUGCCAUUUCGUCUAUCUAAAAAAAAAAAAAAUUGAUAUUUGAACAGCUAUUUUACAAUAACUUUUGUGACAAUUUUAUCUCUCAUACUUACAUCAUGUUUUUACUUGAUCUGUCUUUGAUAAAUCAUAAAAAAUGAUAAGAUUAAUCAUGUGAUAAAGUUAUUCAUUUUUAAAAUUUGCCCAUGGAAAACGACCAUAUUUUUCUAAAAAUAAAAUGGAGAGUCAUACUCAUAACCCAAAGAGGAGGGAAAAAAAAGCUAGAUAAAGUGAAGCCGGAGAUUCUUUAUAGACUUCUUCUAACUCCAUGCUUCUCAAAGCCCCUUGAUUUGUCCGAAUUUUAAAAUCCAAACUCGUAAAAAAUGGAGUAAAAUCAAUCCAAUCCUGUAAAUUUAAGGCAGCGAGCAUCGCAACUCGAAAGGAGAGAACAUGAUUUUUUUUUUUUGGGGAGUCCAUCGACUUGCUAAAGUUGACGAAUUAUAGUAUAGCCAUAACACAAAGGGUUAAAAAUAAGUGUAGUGUAAUAAUUAGUGUAACUAUUUGGUGUAAUUUGAUCUUUUAUAUAUGCAUACAUGACUUUUCUUCAAGAUGAAUUGUAGAACUCAUGGCUUGGAAAACACCAAACCUUACAGUAAACAACAGAGCAAUAAUAGAUCAACAUGGUGCUGCAUUGACAAAGUUUCCAUCUAAAUCACUUUUUUUUCCUUCACAGUUGUUUCAGACAAGGAGACAAGCUUCAAUCUAAAAAACACAUGAGCAGUAAGAUUGAACUCACAACAAUUAAGAAAAACUUUCAUAUACAUAUACAAACACUUCAUCUUUCAUUAUUCACAAUGUCUAUACUUUUAUAUCCUUCCUUUCCUCUGUUGCUUCCUUUAUGCACCACCCAAAUCAAUCAAGUGUACGUCGUUUCAUCGAAAUCCAUUUCCUAUACAGAAAAAUAUACACAUAUGUAGCCAAAUAUAUAACCAAUUUAUCAUUCAUUAAAAUCCAACUAAAAGCCUAGAAUUUUGCAAUCAAUCAGGAAUACAUUGCCAACAACAAUCUAUACAUCAUAGAAGAGAUAAAAUUACAUCGGUAUAACAUUUGGAUAGUGUUACAUUGUUCAAUAACCUUCUACCAUAUACACGUACAUAUUUUAUGUAACUCGCCGUUUGAAUGAAAAUUUAAAUCAUAGAUUAUCUCAGUAGAUUUUUUAUAUAAAACUAAAAUUCUCUAACAUGUCAUUGAGACACAUCAAGAUUAACGUCAUUUAAUAAAAAACACUUAAAGAUGUUAAUCUUGGCGCAAUCUACAGUUGCCAACUUUACCAAGAUUAAAAACAUAGUAUGUUAUAAUUAAUGACAGAGGCAGUAACUAAAAUUAUUGAAACAAAAAAAUGAUUGAGCAGAUACAUAUCGGCACUGUGCAUUUUUUUGUUAACUACUAAGAUUAUGUUUUGUUCAUUUAGCAUUUACAAGUCACGAUAAUUUAAUAUUUGAACUUCUCUUAAUAGAAGGUGUAGUUCUACCUUGAUGUAUGCUACGAAGCAAAUUUUAUGGAUUUCACUGCAAACAUAUUUGGUUAAAGAUGUUAGAAAAUAAUACAUUACCUUCCCACAAACUGGACAAUUGUCACUUCUCUCCAUCCACUCAUAGAUGCAACCAAGGUGAAAAUGAUGAGAGCAUUUUGUCAUUAUCUUUGGAUUCUCUUUAGUGUACUCUGCAAGCAUAAACAAUUGUCAAAACAUAGAACUUAUCAAGAUGCAUAUUAUUCAUAUUUUUACCUUCAAGAUCAACUAAUGAAACCAUUGCGCAAACCAAGUUUUAUUAUCCCCGUUCAAUUGAAAUAUACCUUCAAGAUCAACUUAACAAUUUAAGGCACAAGAGGCACAAAUUUGAAAGUAAAAGGAAAAAUGAUGCCCAAUGGAGGCUCAAAAGAUCGUCAACUUUCUAUAGUAUAUCGAAUCAAUUUAAGUCCUUAUAAGUUAUAAAGCUUGAAUAAUUUUCACCUCUUGAGCUAGCUUUUGGGGCUAAGUUAGGUCUAAAGCCUAAAAAUCUGCAUAUAGUAGAGUUUAUCAUUGAUCCAUUAUUGGGCUACCCAUAUUUAUUUCUCCUAUGUUCUACAUGUUCGGUCCUGACUCCUGAGCAUGGGGUACAUUCAUUCACGCUUUAAACAUCUAUCUAGUCUUAAGCAUGAGGGGUGUCAGAGUCCCAAUCAAUAUAGAUAUCGCCUAAGGCAAUCAUAAAAUUGAGACAAUCCUAACCUAACAAGUCGAUUUAAUAUGGUUCCAUUAGGCCCUAGCUCGCCUUUUUAAUAGUUUACAUUCAAGCAAAAGGAAAAUAUUAUGCACAAUAUAGGCUCAAAAGAUCAUCAACUUCCCAGAGUAAGUAUAUCAAAUUAAAGUUUCUAAGUACAGGCUUGAGGAAUUCUCACCUCUUGAGCUAGAUUUUAGGGCUUAGUUUAAGCCUAAAUCCUCAGAUAGUGAUAGAGCCAUAUCGUGGAUAUGUUAUUGGGUUACCCAUAUUUGUCCGUGUGCUAGAUGUCCGCUCAUGGAAGGUGUUUUAAAAUCUCUAUUACUCAGUCACUCACAUUUGUCCACCAUGGUAGUAAGAAUCGCGAGUCAACUCAUUGGAGCAUACAAUCUGUAUUGCGAUCCCGCGAUUUAUGAUCUCGUGACCCCUUCCCGGUCUCAGGUAGGAUCUCGAUUCUGACUAUCUUGGUCCAUGCUUCAGACGUCUAGUAUUAAGCAUGAAGGGGUGUGUUGAGAGUCUCAAUCAAUUAGAGAUAUUGCCUAAGAGGUAAUCAUAAAACUCAGACAAUCCUAACCUUACAAGUCAAUUUUAUUUGAAUCAGUUGGGCCCUAGCCCAAAUUUUAAGAGUUGUCGUUCAGGCUUAAAAGAAUAUUUCACUACACAAGCACAAAGUUAUAACUAUAAGACCCCUACAUGACACUGAAUGCAAAUAGAUAAAAAUCUGAAAAGAAAAUAAACUAUACAAUGCGGUGGGAACAAAGUUACAGUGAGUUACAAGGCAUAAUAGGAUUAAAAUGAAGAUAGUUAUUAGAGAGUUGGUGUAAAAGCUAACGUGGAAAAGAUGGUAUAGUCUUUUCUUAGACAGUUUGGAUAUGUCACAUGUGUGGUAAAGACAGAGAAGCCCGGGAAGAAAAGUAGAUAAGAAUGGUAGCGAAAAAGUUGGGACUAGAUAAUAGUACCCAACAAAAACUGUAGACUAAACCACUAAGAAGGAUUUAGAUUUAAAUGGCUUGAUGAUCUACUUGAUUUAAGAUAAAAACUACCAAGUAAUUUAUCAAAAAAAAUUAACCGACUCCACCUAAUGGAAGGGAAGAUUGCAUUGUUCUUUUUGUUGAUGCCAAAAUCUUUCACUGACUAUGUAGCACUGACACUUCAGAACGAAAGCUGGUCCAGUGUCCGACACUAACACGACACAGACCACAUGUGGUUACAUUUAAUCACUUCCAUUUUAUCAUAUUAUUACUGGUGUAUGUGUCAAUGUUCAUGUAUAUACCUGUGCUUCAUAAAUCACCGAGCAUCAUAUAGUACCAAACCAUGCUGAUUUAAGUCCCAGUAUCAAAGGGUCUUCUAAUGAAAAACUGAGAUUAUUAAAGAAAAUGUAUAAAUCUACCUUCAAGACAAGUUGGACAAAUAUCCUCGUCUUCCGACGAUGCAUAAAUGAGUCCAACUCCGGUUGUAUAUUUUGCUGAUGAAAGUUUUAAUGCGGACUUAGAACGGUAUAUCUUUGAUUCAUCUUCACAGGCACAUUCAUUCCAUUUCUCUGAUGAAUGUAAAGGUUCUGGAUCCACAUCUGUGUCACUUCUUAGAGGUUCAGUUUCGUCAUUUGAAUGGCUUGAACUUUUCUCACGCCUUGAAACUAGUCCAUCACGCUGCGAGCGGAAAAACCGAGGCUCUGCAUCAUAAGGUAAAGGCCUUGGAGGAGAACGGUACAUGUCAGAUAGAGAAUUAUCAAGUGAUGCGGCAGAAGUCAUGGACGCUGUCCCCUGAAGAGAUGAAGGAACUGAAUGUGCUUCCCCUCUACGAAAUAUUGAUGCAUACUGAAAUUUGAGAUAGGAAAAUGGUUAUAUUUUUUAUUAAAAACUACAGCUCUGAUUUACAUCAUUGUGAAAAAAGGAUUUUGGUCUAAAAUAGUCUUUAGGUAGCUUUCCAACAAAUCGUAAUAUAAAUGCCGAUCAAUAAGGUGGAUUUACCAUCAAGAAACAUACAUUCACAAAUGCAGAGUACUUUUCCUAGGCCAAAUAAUAGGUUAGUACAAGCAAUAUUGUCAAUCAUGGAUCGCGGAAAAUAGUGGUUUGUUCACAUUCCACCUUGCCACAGUGCUAUACCGCCGCUAUUUGACAACACUUUGUAACAAAUAGCAUAUUGGCAUCGCAAAACAAUAGCGAUUUAUUCAAAUUCCUCUAUACUAUAGCGCUGCUACAGCCAUUAUUUGACAACAGAGUACAAAUUGAUUUGAGAUGUUUUUCUUUUGUGGGCUUUGUAGGACAAGUUUGCAAUCACUUGACUAUGUAAGCUUCAUAUUAUAAACUUUCCCGCAAAACUAAGUGAGACAUAUUUUGAUUUUAAGAGUCACCUCUAACAUUGAUAGCACUCGAGAUUUCUUCACUGAAGCAUACAUGCAAAAGAAUACCAUUUAAAAAUAAGUAGGACUAUGACACAUUUCAAGAAUAGUUGUACGCACUAUACAAAACCAGAACACUAAAGAGAUGCUAAUGCCAACAAUUUCACUUGCAAAAUUUUAGGUUAUAUAAUUCAAGCAAAGGAACCAGGUGUGCAAGGAACGCAAAGAUCAGCACAUCAGAUGUUCAUGCGAUGUCGCUAUAGUCCCCAAAUUAAUGAAAAUUACAAAAGCAUCUCAAAUGUGUCUCUCGUCAAUCAGUUUGGUACUCGAAUGUGUUUUUCGUUAGUUAGUUUAGUCCUCAAAUGUAUCAUCCAUUAGUCAGUUUGAUCCAUCAAUAUACUAACAAAAGUUACACUCGAAUUGUUGUAAUUUCGAUACAAUCAAUGACUACAUAGACAUUGCCUCACAUUUAGCAACCAAUAUGACUAUUUACUCUUCAAAUUCAAAUUACGUAUAAGGCAAACAAAACAAGGGAGAGAAUGGAAAGAGGAUGUAGAUACAUACCACAUUCAAAAGAUUCUGAACCAAGCAACUGAGACACGGGCAAUUCCUAUACACAGUACUAUUUGGAUUUACAUAAUCUUCAUAAUCAUCAAAGCUCAAACAACAACAAACAGAACCCAUUAUUCCAACUAGCUUCAGAUUUCUCCCACUCUUCAACUGAUCAAUGAAAACUAGAUGGUGCUACAUGCAUGGUUUGAGAAAAAUAGUCUCCAACAGCACCACACCAACUAUGUUUUCAGAAGCUUCACUGCAUCCAUGAAACAGUACCAUCCCUCAUUUGUAAUAUGGAUCAAAGCACUGUUGCUCUUGCUCACCUGCAAAAUAAAUCAAAAUAGCAUUACAGAAAAACAACAAGAUCAUUAUUGAAAAGCAUGAGAAAGUUGUAGAAUAUACCAUUCAUACAAUUAUUUCACAAAUUAAAAUAACUAUGCUCGAAUUCAAGAUAAGAAAUUCCCUUAUAUAUUUAAUGCGCAAAAAUGUGUAUGUGUGUAUUCAUCAGAAAAAUAAUAUCACUUGUUUAUUAGCUUGGUUGCCACAUAUCUGAGCAAUGCACCAAAUGUUCAUUAUUCAAACCAACGUGUACAGAACUUACAAGGAUAUAAAAUCAGAACUAUGACACAAGAUCAGUACAAAACACAUGAUAUGAAUACCAUAUAACAUAAAAUAACUAAUAUAAAAUGGAUUUAAUCCAUAUACAUUGUCACCGUAAAGAUUUUUUACACCGUCAAUAAAUCAUAAUCGUCCCAACAUUAACAACAUUUGACUUUUUAAUCCGUACACACAAUUAGUGGUGAUUUGCUGACAAUAUAAAACUUCACACUUAAAUUUUUCUAAAACUUUUUACACUGAAAGUGUAUCAAAAAUUAAAUUAUUAUUAUAAAAUUAAAAAACUAAUAUGAAAAUUUGACACACACCGACAGUAUCAUGUGCUCAGUCUAUAAACUCCAAAGUUUGGAAAAUUUGAUUCUUUUCUUCACAUAAAAGCUAUGUCAUUGUAUCAACCAACAUCAUCACAGUACAAAGCUUCAAAAAAUUAUAUAAAUUACAAAAUAAAACAAAUAAUCAAUAUAAAAUCAUAUCAGAAACGCACUUGAAUUAGCAAAAACAAAGCGACCCAUUUCAGAUUAUCAUAUCAAUAAGCAAUUAAAAGGGUCAAAAUGAAAUUUAGAAGCCGAAAACUCAGGUGGGUAUGGUGAGAAAAAUAUAAAAAUUGAAUUUUUAUUAUUAUUUUUUUAUAAUAAAAAGAGUGUAAGAAAAAGAGAUUGAAGAGAUGAACCUUGGAGUGAGAAAUUGAGGAGAGUAGAUAGAUGGUUGGAGAAUGAAAUUGCAAAGGAAAAGGGGUUGAAAAUUUUGGAUUUUUGCGGCGAUUAUUGCUAUGAAACUGCGAAAUUGAAGCUAUCUCUUGUUCUUCUCUUUCUUUCCCUUUUGCUUUGGUUUGGUGGGUGAAGUGGAGUGUUUUAUUUAUUUUAUUUAUCUUUUUCAUUUUCUAUUUUAUGAGUAAAUAAAAAAUUCAAUCUUUGAAAUUUAUAAAGUACAACAUUUUUUUUUUUGAAGAGAUUAAAAUGAGAUAUAUUACCACAACAUAGGGCCUCCUGGCUCAAGAUGAAUCAAGGAAGAAAACCCCAAAGAGUUAAAACAACAACUAUACAAUAAUUACAAGACAAAGGCCUACACCGCACAACAUGCCGGUUCCACCAAAGAAUUAGCCUAUGCCUAAAAUAGUAAACGGACUAAUCCACCAACCAUGAUAAUUGAAGGAAAGAGUUAUAAACCUCGUCUUCAACCAUUUGAAAGUCAGUAACUUAAUCCUAUCGACCACCUGUAAGAUUGAGCUAUCUAUAGCCUUAAAAAUUCUGUUAUUCCUUUCCUUCCAAAUUUCCCAAACUGUUGCAAACCAAAUAACCUGUAAAAUUGAUUGCCUCGAUUUAGAGACACCACCAAAGUGGUGAAAUUGAGUAAAAUUCCCAGAGACGUCAUUAGGUAACACCGUAACAACUCCAAGCCACUGUAGAAUAUAAUUCCAAACCGUACUAAAAAACAUACAAUGAAACAAUAAGUGAGUGGAAGUUUCAAAACAUCCACAACCACCCACACACAUUUGAUCAUCGAAUUGCAACACCUGACGCCUAAAUAAAUUAUCUUUUGUUGGAAGUCGGUCACGAAACAAACGCCACACAAACAACAAAACCUUUAGCUGUACAUCCUUAUGCAAAAUAAAAGGUGCUGUCCCCAUUGUGACGACAACAUCUUGUGCGAUAAUAGAUGUAUAUGCACUGCGAACUGAAUAAAUUGAAGACAAGUCUGGCUUCCAUAUCCAUUGAUCCUCUCUAUGAACCUGUAAAGACAAAUUUUGCAGUAAAAUAAUAAGCUCUUCCACCGACUCCUCCUCUCACGCAAACAACCUACGUCUCCACCUCCACGCCCCUCCAUCCACCCCCCAACCUAACUCUUUCAUCACCGCCACAGAUUCAUCCUUCAACAACGUCAACUCAAAUAACCUAUAAAAUCUAGCCCUUAACGACACCUCUCCCACCCAAACAUCCGACCAAAACUUGGUAUCUUUUCCAUCACCCAAGGAGCGAGAAAUAUUACUAUAAAACCACCCCUCCGACCUCAAACUCGCCACAUUCCUCCACCACAAAGAACUAUCACGAUCUCCAACCCUCAACCUUCCGUUCUCUAAACCAUUCCUAGCUGCCAACACCCUAAACCACAAACUAUCCUUCUCCACCAACAUCCGCCAACACCACUUCCCUAGCAAUGCCAAAUUAAUUUCUUUUAUUCUCCUUACCCCCAAUCCUCCAACCUCCUGACUCCGACAAAUAGAAUCCCAGUCAACCCAAAAAAAUUUCCUAUGGUCUACACUCCCCCGCCCCCCCCAAAAAAAAUAAUAUUUAAAAUAGAAUUGAUAAAGGAAAUAAUACCUGACGGAGCCUUAAAAAAGAAAGAGCAUAAACAGGGAGUGAUGACAGGACAUAUUUCAGUAAAACCAAACGGCCACCCAAGGACAAGUGUCUCGACUUCCAACCCGACAGUCUAGAAUUUAUUCGAUCAAUAAGCGGCUUCCAAAAAUUCAAUCAACUAGCAUUCCCGCCAAUAGACAAACCAAGAUACAUAAACGGAAUGGUACCAAUUUUACACUUCAUCACCAUAGAAGCCUUGACAACCACGACCCUUCAACAUUAACCCCGACCAAAAGACUCUUAGAAAAAUUCACCUUAAGACCAGAGAGAUCCUCAAAAAGCAAUAAGAUGGCCCGCAAAGCUCUGACAUUAGCCCAAGAUUUUUCGCAUAAGAUAAUUGUAUCAUCCGCAAACUGAAGAUGAGACACCACCACCGGCUCAUGGCUGCCCACCUUAUAACCAGAUAAGAGAUUAUUAAUUGCAAAAGCUUCCAUCAACACAUGAAACCCCUCUGCCGCCAAAAGAAACAAAAAGGGUGAGAGAGGAUCUCCUUGCCUUAAACCCCUACCCAAAGAGAAUUCAUCUGUAGGAGACCCAUUAACCAACACUGAAGCUGUGGCCGUCCCCACACACUCCUUAAUCCACUUACGCCAAAGAGUCGGAAAAUUCAUUUUCACCAUCACUUUAUCCAAGUAGCUCCUAUCAAUGGAAUCAUAUGCUUUCUCAAAGUCAACCUUGAAAAGUAAUAAUUCAUUAUUACGUUUCCUUGCAACAUCAACCACCUCAUUUGCCACCAAAAUGCCAUCUAGAAUCUGACGACCUUUAAUAAAGGCCGAUUGAGCAUCAGAAAUAACCGAACCAAUAACCAAUCGAAGCCUAUUAGCCAGAACCUUAGCCAAAAUUUUAUACAAACAACCAACCAGAGAAAUGGGCCGAAAAUCAUUCAAUUUUUGAGGACAAUCAAUCUUCGGAAUAAGAAGUACGACAUUUAUUUAUUAGUGAGUAAACCAUCAAAUUGGUUUAUAUCUUUUAAGUUAUUACUCCCUAAUUUUAUUAAUAUUUCAAACUGUUCAUGAUUUGUUAAAAGUUUUUCAAUUAUGUUCCCGUAAGCUAAGGACAAUGCAUAAAUAAUAUAUGCCACAAAAAAAAAAAAAGUUUUUCAAUAAUGUUCAUCGUCAUGUGACAAAAACAUUAAGACAUAGACUUAAUUGAGAUAAUUGAUUUCGCUAGAAAGUUGAGGAGAGACUAUCUAAUUUUUAAAGUUGAUUUUGAAAAGGCAUAUGACUCAGUUAGCUGGACUUUUCUUGAUUAUAUGAUGAGGUGGUUGGGUUUUGGGUCCAAAUGGCGUAGCUGGAUUAAGCCUUGUGUUUUCUGUGGUAAGUUGUCAGUUUUGGUUAACGGAAGCCCAACUAAAGAGGUUAAUAUUCAUAAGGGUCUGAAACAAGGUGACAAUCUAGCCCCUUUCUUGUUUUUGCUGGUGGUUGAGGGGAUGGGUGGGGCUGUUAAGAGGGCCUGAAAGUUAACUUCGCAAAGAGCAGGCUGAUUGGAGUUAAUGUCAAUGACGAGUUUCUAAGGGUGGCUGAGUGUUUCCUUCAUUGCAGCAGGGGAAGUAUUCCUUUUGUCUACCUGAUGGGAUAAAACUGCAAGUGUACGGUUCUAUCGAAGUAGUAAAAUAAGAGUAUCGUUCAGAAAGGGAGUUGUUAAAUUCAACUAACUUUUGUUGAUGAUUAGAAGAGAAUCAAGUUGCAAAGUUGGGGUUUUCAAACGGUUGAAAGAUAAUAUAAUAAAAAGAGCCUUGGGAUCAUUGAUUCAUCUUAAUGACAAGUCCUUCUCAAACCAAACUAUUAAACUUAGAACCUUAUGUUAGACCUAACUUCUAAAGACAAUUUCUCUUUUGUUCCUCUAGCAACCAAGCCUAUUUCGCUGACUUGAUUAUUAUUAUAUUUUGGUUCCUAUAGCAACCAAGCUUAUUUCGCUGACUUGAUUACUAUUAGUUCCCUUGAAUAUCAAACUUAUAUGUCUCCAAGAUUGCAAAGACGAUUUCGCUUCCUUUGCAAUCCUUGUCUAAAUUCACUUGUUCGAAUAUCAAAGUGAUGUAGGAUUUUUACCUCUCAUAAAACUAUUUACACGUGAGUAUAUAUAGGAUCGUGUCCACAGGGAGUUGCGUUUUUCAUAAGCAUUUUCACAAUAUUUGUCACGUUAAGUGUUUGGGUAUAAAUUGUUUGUUUGUGUAAAACUAUUUUCCUAAUCGACAUAAAAGUAAAACGAGAAGAGAUAGGGCUAUUCCGCUUGCGGUCAGAGACAUCAACCAAGCGUAACAGCUGCAAUCUCUCGAUCGAUUAACGGAUUCUANNNNNNNNNNNNNNNNNNNNNNNNNNNNNNNNNNNNNNNNNNNNNNNNNNNNNNNNNNNNNNNNNNNNNNNNNNNNNNNNNNNNNNNNNNNNNNNNNNNNNNNNNNNNNNNNNNNNNNNNNNNNNNNNNNNNNNNNNNNNNNNNNNNNNNNNNNNNNNNNNNNNNNNNNNNNNNNNNNNNNNNNNNNNNNNNNNNNNNNNNNNNNNNNNNNNNNNNNNNNNNNNNNNNNNNNNNNNNNNNNNNNNNNNNNNNNNNNNNNNNNNNNNNNNNNNNNNNNNNNNNNNNNNNNNNNNNNNNNNNNNNNNNNNNNNNNNNNNNNNNNNNNNNNNNNNNNNNNNNNNNNNNNNNNNNNNNNNNNNNNNNNNNNNNNNNNNNNNNNNNNNNNNNNNNNNNNNNNNNNNNNNNNNNNNNNNNNNNNNNNNNNNNNNNNNNNNNNNNNNNNNNNNNNNNNNNNNNNNNNNNNNNNNNNNNNNNNNNNNNNNNNNNNNNNNNNNNNNNNNNNNNNNNNNNNNNNNNNNNNNNNNNNNNNNNNNNNNNNNNNNNNNNNNNNNNNNNNNNNNNNNNNNNNNNNNNNNNNNNNNNNNNNNNNNNNNNNNNNNNNNNNNNNNNNNNCCACGUAACCUUAGCUUGUUGACAUUUCUAGAUCUGGCUUGAGCCUGCUUGGGGCGAGCUCUCUCUGGACAAUUCUGGCUUAAGCGAGUUUUCUGGCUUGAGCCAGAAAACUUCUGCACUUUGGUUGAUUCUUGGGUCCUGGCUUGUAUUUUCCUGCACAAAAAGGGUAGAGUAAGGCAUAUGAAGCAUAAAUGGUGUAAAUGCAUAAAAUUGGAGCUUUUCCAUAGAUAACUUGUAGAACAAGUCACUAAAAUGCCUAAAUUAACAUAAGAAAUAUAUCACUUUUGAGCACUUAUCACAAAGCUCCACUUUCGUUUUAUGAAUUGAUAUUUGAGAUGAUGGAUUAACAAUUAUCAAACCCUCCACUUUCGUUUCCACGGUUUGAUAAUGGUUAAUUCAUGUUAAAACGGUGAAUUUAGAUUAGAGAUUAGAGUUACAUAAGAUUAGGGUCAAUAUCUUGGUUUGAUUAGGAUUAUGUCAUUUAGACUUAUCCAAUAAUCCUAAUACAAGAGAAGUCUACUCACUCAUGUUCAUCGUAGACAUGAGAAGAAGGAGAAAAGUAUAAAAGUAAAUAACAAGAAAGAAAAGAAAAAGAAAAGAACUUUUAUUAAGAAAGACAAUUGUCACUUAUUGAAUUCCAAGAAUAAAAGAUGACUAUUUGUGAUGGGUAGCUACUCUAUUUAUAGUUUACAUUCGACUUAGAAUCUAAGCAAUUACAUCACUAAAAUGUUCCACAAGAAAACUAAAAUAGAGUAGCUUAAAAUCUAAACAAAAGCAACAAAAGGUUAUUCUGGGAGGUGGCACGGCCAUGCCAAUGUUAGCACGGGCCGUGCCAAGCUUCUGACUUGGGGGAGACAUAUUUUUGCUCCGAAUCAACUCCAAAACCCUUUUCUUUUGCUCCAAGACUCAAUCCAUCAAAUAUUCAUUCCUGAAAUAUAAUAAUAUGCAAUUGAAGUAAAAUAGCUCUAAAAGGAAAUAAUAUUAAAAUAAAAUAAGCUUAAAUCUAAUUAAAACGAACCUAAAUAUUAUACUAAAACAGAUAAUAAAUGACUCAUCACUACCUAGGUAUUCCUGUAGGGGCGAAUCCAUGAAAGAUCAUACAAGGAAGUCGUUAUUUGACACAAUUUCAAGAAGGUUUGGCCCAUUAAGAAAUAGGUUUAUCAGUUUGGGGGGGGGGGGGGGGUUCUAAACUCUGUUCUUAAUGCGAUCCCCUCGGUUGCGAUGUUGUGUUGUGGUGUGGCAGCUGCUCCUGUCCGCUUUUUGAGGAGGUGUAUUUGUUUAGUUUUGCUUGUUUCUUGCUUUAGGGUUUUUGAGGGCGAUUGUAGUUUGGUGUUUUUGUUUCCUUUAUUUUAGUACCCUUGGUACACCGAGCUAGGCAUUUGUUAGCCCUCUCGUGUUAUGCUUUUUAUUACUCUUUCUCUCUACUAUGUGGGACUUGCUCCGUCUUUUAUUUAUAUAUUACUGGCGAAAAGACGGGCAUAGUGCCCAUCUUUCCCUUGGCACACCAUGCAAAUAGUUUGAAAAAAUAAUAGUUAAUGAUAUGAUAUUGUGUCAAAACUUUGGAUUAUCCCAACAGAGUUAACUAAAACAUAAUAGUUAAUGAUAUGAUAUGAUAUUUAACAUAUUUAGUAACCAUCCAAUUAUUACACCUUUGUUCUUGUUUAUCCCAACAGAGUUAACUAAAAUUCUAUUUAACAUUUAUGCUUAUAAUUGGAUAAAAAUUAUAUCUAAAAUUGAUUGUUAGAGAUUGGCUACGAAUUAGAUACUAAAAUUACACCUUUGUUCUUGUUCCUUUAGUUUCUGUUUUCAUAAUUAAAUAUUGUUUCAGACUUUGUUGUUCUUUUCUGGUACGCCUUGUGUUGGAAGGACAUUUUUGAUUUGGUAAUAUAAUUCAUUUUAGCCUUUUCAAAAAAAAUAAAAAAUGAUACUAAAAAAGUAACCAUUUUUAAUUGUUACUAAUAAGACUCUUAAGGUUACUAAAACCAUUGGAUAUAUAACAACACAAACUUUACCUAACAUUUAUCAAAUAAUGUUACAAAAUCUAAAUAGUAAAAUUUGUUUUUUAUUUAUUUAGUUACAAUUUUAAACUGUUACUAAAUCGUAGUGAUUUCAGCUACCAUUUUAUGUGUGACUUGAUUUUGAGCAUUAAACUAGAAUGUGCUUGUUAGUUUGUUCUCCACUUUAGAAAGUACUAUCUGUUUACAUUAUCAGUUUGUUGAUGAUCUUCAAGAGAAUGACUUUUGCUUGUUUAGAAUGAUUCCAAAAGGCUCGCAUAUCCUCUAUACUUACAUAUAUCAACAUCAAGAACUAUCAUUUCAUUCUUACUUAUACAUAUUCUUUAUUAAUUAUAGAUAACAUAAUAAUCAUUGACAUAGUAAAUAUAUAGUUUACUGGAAAGGAAAGUAGAUGCCAAUAUCAUGUAUCAACCCACAAUACCUAACAAUACUAUAUACAUCAUUAACAUAGGAAAAACAUUUUCUACUAGAGAGGUUGCGCAGCUUGCAAGGUUAUAGGGCUAAUUGUAUUGGAAGAACAAGAAGGGUGCUUGCUUAGCCAGCAUAAGGGUGCUUGCUUAGCCAGCAUAGCAAUUUUUUUGAACUUCAACAACCACAAAAGACGAUAACAUACAUUAUAAGUCAUUUCCGAAUACCAUUUUUGUGACCCUUAGCAUUAAUCUACACUGGAACAAAUCCAAAUAAGCAUCUACACUACAUGCAUUGUUGAUAGUUGGCUUCAAAUUUGUGGUCUGGAAGAACAGAGAAAUCGUGACAUGAAUUUGGCAUCGUGACAUGAUUUUGUGAUGCCGUGAGCUGGUUUGCAGGGUGCCAAAUCGUGACACAAUCUUGGGAAAUCGUGACACGAUUUUGAAACUUGCUCGUUAAGUAUCCGUGAUAAGGACUGGUCAUACCUUGGGACGUACGCAAAUCGUGACACGAUCUGGAAAUCGUGACACGAUUGUAUCAGAGGAAGGCUAGUAUUUAAAGUGUUCUUGUGCAGAUUUGGAGGAGAGCUUGGAAGAGCUUAGAGAGAUAAACUUGGAUUACAAAGGAGGGAACCAAAGGGUUGAGUGUCUUUGUAGAGAGUGUCUCUUGGGUUGGGAAAAACAUUGUAAUCACCUUGGGUAGUGAGGAGUUCACCAUUGGAAGGAUCUAAAGCUUCCUCUAGUGUCUUCUCUUUUAGGGUUCAUAUUGUGAGAGUGGGGAAACACCAAAGGGUAGAAUCUAGGUCUUGUUUCUUGUGUAAGCUUGCAAGCUAUUGUUUCUUGUAACCCUUUGUAACACUUUCAUCAUAUUGGAUUGGAGAGCUGCUCUCUCCCCCAGAUUAGGCCAUAUUGGCUGAACUGGGUCAACAAUCUCUUUGGUGUGUUUGUUCUUUCUUUCUUGCUUAUAUUGUUUGCUUUGUAUUCUCUUUGUGGUGUUGCUCUACACUAGACUAGGGCUGGUUUUGUUGUUGUUGCUUGGGAAACUUUUUACUCUUUGAUUACCACUAUCUUUUGCUCCACACAUCUUUGUUUUCAUUGGUGUGAGUUUUAACCGGAUUCACAACAUGCAUGAUCAUUGAAACAUGCCAAAUAACACAAACCAAACAACUUUGUGUAUGUGCAAUGCUUUUUACAAGAUUAUCAACAUGAUUUCUUAGAGUAUAAUCAUUACGAAUGUUUCGGCGAGGAAAAAUGAAACAAGGGAUGAAGAAAUAUAAAGGAGCCACUUGCUGAUUAAGACACACCACAUGCGAGCCACAGGUCCCACCAUAGUAGAUCAGAUUGCUACUGCCCAAGACGCCUAGAGUAGGAGCUGGUGUGUGUCGUACACAUAUUGUUCCAAAAAAUUCGGGUUUUACACACCUAUAAAUAUAGAAGCCUUGCCUCACUUUAAGAAAAAAAAAACGUUCUAACGACGGGAAAAAGGUGAAAUCACACGAUUUUGGAAGGCUACCAACGACCAGAGGCAUCCUAGAGGCGAGGAUUUUUUUUUUUUUUGAACAAAUCAAAAUGGAAUAUAUUGCACAAAAGAGAAGUGAUUCACCCCGCACAAGGUGUACUAAAAGCGAUGAAUCACUCAAAGUCUGAUACAGUAACUAGGUGACGGGCACACACGCAUGACACAGUCAACUAAAAAAGAUAAAUAACAUUAGACAGCACCUAUACAAAGAAGUGGGUGCCUCCACCAAUCAUGAAAACCAUACGCCAUUGUUACAGAAUUUGACGAAAGCCAUAAAAAAGUAUCCAACUUCACCUUUUCGACAAUAUUGUAAGGAUCAAUUACCACAUUUUUGAAGAUACAGUUAUUUCUCUCCUUCCAUAUUGCCCAUACACAGGCAAGCCAAAUAACCUUAAGAUAAAAAUGAGAAGCUCGUGGCAUACCCGCCAAAUGAGUAAACUGAUAGUAGUGAUCCACAACCGAACCUGGAAGAACAUAAGAAAAACCAAUCCAUUGACAUAAUAAAUACCAAACUUUCCCAAACAAUUCGCAACCUAACACAAGAUGCUCCGCCGUCUCAAUGAAACCACGUCCUCCAACACACAAAGUGUCGUUAGCUUGAAGAACAUGUCGAAGCGCCAAGUUUGACCUUGUCGGAAUUCUAUCUUUCAAUAGACGCCAAGUGAAAAGAGAAACUUUUGUAGGAACCAAUUUGUGCCACACGUUUGUGUUUGUAACAACAGCCACCUGAUCCUCUAAAGAUGUUAGAAAGCGAUAAGUCCCACUAACCGAGUAGCCAUGAAUAGGAUCAAGCAACCAACGCUAGUGGUUCUGUAAAUUUUCCUGCAGAAUAACGUUAGUCAAUAAAUUCACACACUCCCUCACACUAUCCUCCUCCCAAGCCAACAACCGAUGUCGCCAUCUCCACCCACCUCCGCCUUCCUCCCACCCCAAUCCCGCCAUAUCCUCCACGGAACAUUCCUUAUGUAUUGACAAAUCAAAUAGGCGGUUGAAACGAAUGCGUAAAGGAAUUCCAUCCAGCCAAUUGUCAGUCCAAAAGAAAGUAUUACGACCACUACCUACCACCUACCUACAAUUAUCAUCAAACCCCGUUCCCACCCCUUCUCUAACGUGACACAUCAUCCUCCACCACCCUGAAGUACUUCUUCCCCCUCCCUGAAUUCGAGUAGCUAAUAUCCUUGGGUUAGGUCAUUUGGAUUACCCUCUCUGCAACUAUUUGAACGUAAUCAAUCGGUACUUUUGAAUAGAGUUACUCUAUUUGAUUUUAUUCGAUUAUGACUUGCUUAUUAAUGUGUUUUAUACGUUUAUAAAUGUUAGUUAAAUGAUCCAAUCACAUUGCCCAUUAACCCUAGCACUGAGAUUUGCACUAGUUAUUAAAUGUUCAAUUUGUAGUAGUUAUUUCUUUUGGUUUCAUUCAAUUUCAUGGCAUGGACCAACUCUCUGAAUACUAUACUAAUGCUGGCCGCAAGAUAGAUUUGUUAUUUCUAACGAUUAGCUUGAUUGAGUUAGGGUUUUAAAUCAAUUUUGGUUCUUUUGUUUUACAAAUCAAAACACGUGAUCUAUUGUUUCUUUCACUUGAACGCUUGAUUGAGUGUCAUUGUUUCCAUGUUUAAUUUUGUUAUUUUUGGUAACAGCACAGUACAUAUAAAAAAAGAGUAAAAUAAUAAAGGAAGCACCCCACCGUAUAAGGGGGUUAAUUAUUUAUUAUUAUUUUUUAAAUUAGGUAUCCUCUGCGUACAAUUGUGAAGACGAAUUCCUCAAAUCUUGGAUGUGUAUAAACUCAUUUAUUUGGUCCGUGUUUAAGUUUUUUUCUUCCGAUAUUAGAAACUAUAUAUUGAAUAGUCCGUAAAACAAAGAAAGCCACUAUUAACAAAAACCAACUCCUCAAAGAAUAAACAUCCGAAUGAUGCAUAGUGUAAUUAGAUUAAGAAUUUGUCAUUCAAAACAAUAGAGAAUUGAAAUGGUUAAUAAUGUGUCAUUAAAACCAAUAGAAAAUUGAAAUUAAAGAAAACUAGAAUAUUGUACCAAAAAAAAAAAAAAAAACUAAACUAACUUAAAUUUAGCAGUCCAAAAACAAAUGUGUAGAAAAUAAAGACAAUUACAAGAACUGAACAACUAUAUUCUAUCAUUAUCUGUGUUUCUCUUUCUCCUGGUGCAUUUUUAGUAGAGAUCUCUUCCCAAUUAAAGACGAGAAACCAUGAAAGUGUGAUGCACCAUAGGAUAGAAGUGAUAGCCGCAGCGGUACGCGAAACUACAAAGACUUCUAUAAUUGAUGUCACACUUGAUAGCAACAGAACGCAUAAGAUUGCAAAUAUAUUGUUGUUGUGGUCAUUGUUGUUGGAACGAUGUUGUAGUGUAACAAGUAGUAUCAUUUGAAAAACUAAAACAAAAACACAGAGUGAGAGCAACACUAUAGUGUCAUGUUGUGCAAUGAAUUUACCAGCGAAUGAUGACAUCUUUAGGGCUACGCAGAUAAUUAAAAGCAUGGAUAAUUGCCCUGCAUGCGGACACAAGUACUUGCAGAAAGCUCUCAUCUACGUUGUUCAUCAUGAACCUAUAAAUUAAUGAGAUAAUUAGAUACAUACAUUGAUUUUUGAGUUUUUGUUUUGUUGUGUAACCUAAAGAAAUUAAAAGACGCAGAAUAGUAAAUAUAUGAAGGUAAAUCAAAGGGAUUGAGUACCUUGGGUUAACUGGAUUAGAGGAUAUAUAUAUAUAUAUAUAUAUAUAUAUAUAUAUAUAUAUUGUCAGGUAGUCUAGUGGAUAGAAUUCACCUUAUAAGGUGAAUAAGUGGGGUUCGAACCCUGAUCCCUCCCUGCAUAUAAUAAUGUAUUAUCCUACCAAUGAGUUAGGCUCACGAGACACGGGAUAGAGGAUUUAUAUUCUUCCAUCUUAAUCACUUGAUAUGCUAUCACAAACAAUAACAAUGCAUGUAGAUAUGUUCAUGAGAUUUUUUUAUUUAUUUUUUGACAAAAAUAUAUAGGCAUGAGAUAUACAUAUAUGCAUCUAUAUAUAACCAGCGACACUCUUUAGAUAGUAAAUUUUUAUAGAAAUUUAUAUAUUCAAUGUAUUGAAAAUUGAAGUAUUAAACUUUUUUAAUGAAUAAUUUCUUAACUAUGAAUCCUUAAAGAGUACCCUAAAAGUACUAAAAGAGUAGAAUUAAAAUAAAAUAAAAAAGAUUAAAGAGAUCUAGUAUCUUGGAUUAAAUGGAGUAGAGGACUUCAAUUUUCCUUCCAUCGUAAUCAAUAAUCACUUGAUCUUCCCUUGUUUGGCAGCACUUGAGUCAAUUAGGUUAAUGACUAAUUAUUAUAGUAGGACUAUUUAAAAAGAUGUUCCCGCAAAGCCAUAACAAACUUAAGAAGACAAGUAUCGCAAAUUUGGUAUUCAUUAUUUAAUAAAAGUAAUUUUGACAUAAAAUAAUUUAGAGGAUUAUGAGCUCGUUUAUUAUUGUUUUUUUAAGAUAAAAAUCACUUUUAAAAAAAAAAAAAAAAUCACUUUUAAGAGUUUUAAAUCCGUUUGUUAUAAAUUUUUUAAAAAAUUAGAAUCUAACAAAAAUUUUAAAAAAGCUUCAAAUGAGAAGCUGUUAAAAGCAGCGUCUAAAAAAAAAAUAAUUUAGAGGAUAGAGAAAAAAUGGUUUAAAAGAUUGAACUAAUUUUAUAACAAAAAAAAAUCUCUUUUAUGUAGUUAUGUCAAACAAACUAAAUUAUUUGUUUUAAAAAAGUGAUUUUUAUUACGGUUAAACAAACGCUACUUCUUAAGACGCCAAGAGUAGGAGUUGGUGCGUGUCGUGACAUCUUGUUGAUCCUAUUUUGAGACGUCUGAGUUGUAACAAUUUGAUAAUCUUAAACUUCUGCAAUCAACAAUUCAAAUGAAUAAUCAAACUUGUUCAUCAAUCAACUUUCGGAUAAACUUGAUAAUAUGCAUUCAAUAAUAAAGGAGAAUUACAGUAUUUUAAAGUUAAACUAAAUCUUGCACAACUAAUUGUCUCCGUGAACUUAGCUCAGCUAGUAAAGACAAUGCAUAAUAUAUGCAAUCCGGGGUUCAAACCCUGGAUACCAUAAAAUAAAAUAAAAAACAGAUUAGAGGAAACUUUUUUUUAAUGAAUGCUGUAGAACGCAAAUAUUUUUCCUGCACAUAAUCAAUCCCCGAACUCGAAAUCAGGUUUCAAGAACCAUAUUUUUUUUAAAGGGUUUUUUCCCAAUGUUUUUCCUAUUUUAAUAAGUUUUGGUGACGACUUUAUUGUUUUACGAGCAACCCUCGAUUUGUUUUCAAGAAUUUCAAACCUGAAAUUUAAUGCGAGCGACCAUUUUUUUUUUCAUUUUAAAGGAUUUUUUCAAUGUUUUCACUAUUUUCAUAAUUUUUUGUGGUAACUUCAUUAUUUCCGAGCAACCGGUGCAUGCUUUGCAACCCUCAAAUUUUAAGUCACAACGUAGUAAAGUAAAAUAUUAAAACAUAUUACUUAUAUAAUCUAAUAUAAUGAAAUGAAAUAUAGUUUUGCAUGAAGAGUUUGAGGAAGGAAAGCUUGUGAAUCAUGCCAUUUUGGCCGACAUGGUAAGCAUUGAUGCAGUCUACAAUUAUCUUCUAACCUUUUUGAAAAUGUGAAUGUCCUUUCUUAGAAGGAAAUUAGUGGAUGAAUGGUUGGAUUCUUUACAAUAUUGUAUACUUGUUGUAGAUGGAAUAACUUCCGAGGUGACUGGUUAGAUGUUUUACAAGAUUAUGUGCAAAAUAUUGAUAUUACACUCUAUAAGUCCAAGCUUAAAAGCUUAACAAUAAAAUUUGGUACCAAACAAAAUCGUCUCUUGUACCAAGAAAGCUAUGAUACAACUUAUCAACCUUGCUUAAAAUGAAACACUACUUGACAAUACAAAAAAGGAGAUCCUCAAUUCGAGUAAGCGCGAGGGCAAUUCAAAGCAAAUUAUCAACUUUUCAAAAGAGGAUGUAUGAGUGGUAGUAUAGGGCGGAUGAGUAGUAGUAGCUCAUGAGUCAUUUUGUUCAAAGACUGUAUGGAUAAUAGUUGAGGAGUUCUUUAGUAUCUAAUAGUGUAUGGUUUGUUUGGUUAAUCAAACAAAUCAUACAAUAUUCGGUACCUCCUGAACUUCGAAAUUCAUAUUCAUGUAGUCGUGGAGUGAGAAAGCUCAUAAACUAUCAUAUAGGUUCCCUCUUCAACUAAUCUUAUGCCCUAUUUUACGAAAUUGAUAAUUUCCUUUAAAAUGAACUGUAGCGUGAUCCAUUGGAGCGAUCUCUUUUUUUUAUUGUCAAAUAACAUUUUAUUUUCAGCAAAAUGGACAAAUUUUACCACAACUUUAUUGUUACAUGAAAGAUGUUUGUUUGGUACCCUCAUUCUAUCGUUAAACCUUUUGGGCUUGGAGUUUUAGAGUAUUGUUAACAUUAUUUGGCACAAAGUCUUGUAAAUCAUUGACCAACUCAUCAAGGUAGCCAUGAUAUUUAUAGAAUCCAAGGUGUUAUGAUACGAGCAAAGCAAGAAUACCACAUAAGCAAAGUUACGUUGCCCUACUCUUUUAUUUUUUGAAAUUUUCAUAUUCUCGUACUUAUAUCAUACCAAAUACCGUACCCUAUAUCCAUACCUAUUCAACAUGAAUUGAAAGUUUUACCGGCAGUACAAUCAGGAAGAUACGUGUUUUGUUGGUUGUAAGAAUGUGGGAGACAAGGUGAAGAUUGUUGGGUUAAAUUGUCGACGAAUAGUUUUGCAUCUACUAUCAAUGACCUAAAUGAUAUUGUUUUUGGGCAUGAAUGUAUAUUUUCUACUAGUACUAUGUAACAACUAAGGUUUUAAAAUUUCAGUUUUAGUGAAAAAAUUUCAAAAUUGAAUUAAGACAUUAUAUUAAAAUAAGUGACAUGUUUUUACAUAAAGCAAAAGAAAAAAUAAACUUAAAUACAACUGAGAACCCUAAACUCUAGACUCUUGUAAUCAACUCUCAAGACAAAAACAAUUCUACUCGAAAAUAAGCAAACAUAUCAGAAUCAAUUCUACACCCCGCACUCAAUUUUAGUCCAUGUAAAAAUGGAACCAAAUAUACACAAUACUACUACGGGUCUGUUUGGUAACAUCCAAAAAAGAGCUUAUAACUUAUAAGUUCUUUUGACAAAAAAAGCUCUGUUUGGCAACACUUUUUCACCAUGAGCUUAUAGCUUAUUUCACGAGCUUAUAAGCUAUUUUUCAGAAGCUAUUCCAAGUAGCGUUUGAGCUUAUAACUUAUAGCUUCUCACUUUUAAUUCCAGUUUUACCCUUAUUAUUCUAACUAAAUUUCAUUUUUUACCUUUAAUCAUUUAUUAUAUUAUAAAGUAAAAUACAUAUGUUUUAAAUAUGAAUGCUAUUUUUUUUUAUGAAUGAAAGAUCCUUUUUUUUUCUCAAUAGAAAAAGAUAUUUUUUUUACCGUUACGUAAGUUUUUUUCAUUACAAUUGUUACGUUUUUUUUUGUGGGACUAUUUCAAUAUUUAAUGUCACCUUUUUUUUGCGAAAUGACACGUUAUUUUUGUGUGAUACAUCAAAAUUGUAGAGAAUAAGAACAAGGACAAUAAUUUUCUCCAUAGAAAAAAAAAUGAGAAUGUUACGUUUACCUUCACUAUAUAUAUAUAUUUGUACAAACUAUAUUUUAUUUAUUGUUACGUUUAAACUUUUUUACAUCUUAUAUAAUUUUUUUAGGCAAAUGAAUAUAAAUAUAAAUUAACAUUUAGGAAUUAAAAAUUAAUUUAAUAAUAAUAUUAAAUUAACAAUUUUUAAUUUUUAAAUUCUUUAAAAUUAAUUGGUAUAAACUUUGAAUUAAAAAUGUCAUUUCAUGUAAUUUUACAUCUAUCAGUUAAUUGAACUGCUAAUUUUAUCAAACACUUCAAGUAGUUCAUCAGCUAUAAGCUAUCAGCUAGCUUAUCAAUCAUCCACUAUUUUUACCAAAGAGAGCCUACAUAAGCACAAUGACUCCUACAGUCCAUCUCUGCAUCACUUAGGGCCACUCCUUUCACCCAGAAGAUCAAGCCUCUUCACCUCAUCAUUUGCCACUUUAAUACGCUGUUCCAUAUUCUGACAAUGUGAUCUAUGUCAUUCCUUCAUGUCAUGUUUAAUGAGCUUUAGGUUUUCUUUUCACAUAAAAUUCAUAUGCAAAGAUUUGUCAAACCCCUUUAUAAAAGCAUCUUGUCACAUAUUUGUCCAUAAUGGAAAAUAUCAAAAUAUAUUUUUGUAUUUUGUAUGACUUAUGCAAUCAUAAAUCUCUUCUAGCAACAACAACAUUAUCUUCUUUCCACUCUUAUUUUUCAACAUUAUUAGAUGCUAGUCACAAACCAAACAUAAACUUCCAAAAACAGUUAUAAUUUAUGCAUAGUACUAUUACUAAUAUAUUCACAUGCAUAACUGUAUAAUAUAUUUCACAUGUCAUGCUAAGAAGUUCCUACGUGUCUUGCAUAUAAGAAUUGUCAGAUAUCAUACUCUAGAGUAUGUGGUUCCUCUAUCUAUCCCGUGAUCAAACAGUGAUUCAAAUUCAAUUAUUCUUAUGCAUCCACAUCAACUAGGAACAAACUUCCAAAAUAUACUUGGUAAACUUUUUGGAUUUUUCCUGAAAAAUAAAACUACUUUUAAAUACUUAUCUAUCUAGUAGGUAUGCUUGUGUUUUUCUAUUAUUACAUUUUCAAUUUUUGAGAUACAUUAUAAAAUAUGGAUACUCAUUGGAUUAGGACUAUACCGGUACAUGUCGUUGUCUGUGUUUGUGUCCGUGCUUUAUAGGUGAUACAUAGUUGAAUAGUAAAAUCUUUUUUUUUUUACAAAAGUUGAAUAGUAUAAUCAUAUAAGAUUAUGAAAUUGUAAUAUAUUGUUGAAUAGUAAAAUAAUAUAACAUUUUGUAAUACAUUGUUUAAGAAAACAAACCUGAAACCACAUUUUUUAAUUAGUUAAAGAUUAUAGGUAUUAGCAUGAUUGCACAAAAUAGUCUUUCUUAUUUAGGUAUUUACACAAACCCUAAUUUAAUUUGAUUGUCUUUAUCAUAGACAGCUAAAGGAAACUAGUCUACAAAAUCUUAUUAUUUAGAUUGUUUUCAUAGACAGCUAGAAGAAACAAAGAGCAGUAAAAAGAUAGAGGACUAGAUUCUAUUUUUGUUUUCAACAAGUUUCUUGCACGAUAGUUAACCCUAUUUGAGGCAUUGUGUUACACUAAAUGUGAAAUUUCGUUUGUGUGCACUCAAAACAUAUCAUGUAAUUACACACUCGGUACAUUCCUGGUUCUUCGAUUAAAAUCGGACAAGUCAAAUUUCAACCUCAAUAUUAUAGAUUUUAAAAUGUAUUCAAAACCUGCAACGUCCGAUCUUAAUUCAACAACUAUCGAUGUGUCAACUGUGUUAAUGCACGAGAUUUUGACUGCAUGCAAUCCAAAUCCCUAAAUGUGGAUAACUCUCUCCCUCGGAAUUCAAAUUUUAGUUCGCCACAUUAUGGGUUACUACCUAUUCGCUAGACCCAAUAUCGGUUAGUGGAAUAGUUCAUAUUCAAACAAUGGGUAUUACUAAGUAAAGUAGAACAAGUAACCAUUUUACGGUCGUUUCUGAAGAGAUUUGAACUCAAGUUAGUUGAAGUUAAAAGAUCAAACUCUUAUUACUGAUGUGACAUAUGAUUGAGAAAUAGUGUCUUAAAUAUAUUUAUAUAGACCUUCAUUAUUUAUUUAAAAGCACAAUACAAAUUUGCAUUCCCUUCACAAGAAGACAUUAUUUCUGAAAACUCAAACCUCAUCACAAUGUCUUGGUUCCUUACAAUUCUGUUUCUCAGUCUCACAUUUGGUACUAAUUUUUCAGAAGCAAACCAUGACAACAAGAAGCUUCUUCCUUCACCUGUUGUAGUUGGCACUGUCUACUGUGACACAUGUUUUCAACAAGCUUUCUCUCUAAACAGCCACUUCAUUUCAGGUAAUCCAUUUCAACCUCAAAAGGGUACUUCAAUUUUAUAUCUCUUAAAAUGUUGUAAAAUUUUUCUAAACCUUAUCAUAUUUUAUUUUGUCCUUGUUUUUAUGUAUAGGUGCAUCAAUAGCUGUUGAAUGCAAAAUAGGAAAAACAAAACCAAGAUUCUAUAAAGAAGUGAAAACAAAUGAACAUGGAGAAUUCAAAGUGAAACUACCUUUCUUAGUGAAGAAACAUGUGAAGAGAAUCAAAGGGUGUAAUUUUAAGUUGUUAAGUAGUAAUGAACCAAAUUGUGCUAUAGCCUCAACUUCUACUUCAUCUUCACUAAGCCUAAAGAAAAAGUUGCAACAAGAACACAUUUUUUCAGCUGGGAUUUUCUCAUUCAAGCCUAUAAAAAAACCAAAAUUUUGUGACAAAAAACAUAGUAUUCAUAACCUUAAGAAACAACAUAGUUAUGUGAAAAAUUUGGAACAAUCAAAAUUUUCAAGCAAAAAUAAAGUACCUAAUGAAGUUGAAGAUUUCUUCUUUUUUCCUCCAAACCCUUUUUUUCCACCACCUAUUAUCCCUAAUCCACUUCAACCUCCACCUUUGAUUCCUAACCCUUUGCAACCACCACCUUUGAUUCCAAAUCCAUUUCAACCACCAAGUCCACCCUUGAUUCCUAAUCCAUUUCAACCACCAAGUCCACCACUUAUUCCAAAUCCAUUUCAACCUCCUCCAUCAAAUCCACCACUUAUUCCUAAUCCAUUUCAACCUCCCCCAGCAAGUCCUCCACCACUCAUUCCAAAUCCAUUUCAGCCUCCACCAUCAAGUCCACCACCAUCAUUUCCUUUUCCACCAAUAGUAAUACCAGGUUUAACUCCAUCACCACCGCCGC